AUUUGAGACCACUGAACUAGACGACUGUGAUUUUCUUCGGUCAUUUUUUAAAUUGUUAAUGGCAAGUUUGUGAUCAGUCGGAAGCCAAGAGAGUCAAGAUGCGUGUGGACUAAACAUGUGCUGUUUACCAGUUUCAAGAGGCUUUGGGCCUACCGAAUCCCAAGAGGCUUUGUGAGAUAAGCACCAGGCAAACAUGUUUUGGAGCAAAACGGGAGUGAGAGUGAUGGCAAGACGAGCAUCAGCAGUAAAUUGCAAGAGGGAACAACCUACAUGUCUGCCUUUUUUAUCUACCUCGACUCUGCUCCGACGUCCUCCACCUCUCCUCGGCGGCCGCCAUCAGCACGCUCAUCAUGUGAUAGGUCGAUGGUGUACAUGUGUGCUACAGCUUUACAAAAGUGAAAGAAGGAAAAAAAGCUUCAAAAAACACAAUUGCCUUGUUUGCUGUCUGUCAAGCUGAACAACUUCACGUUUCGUGAGGACAGAACACCUCAAGUUAAUAUAUUUAAAGGUAAGAUACUGUGUGGUAUAAUAAGGUACUGUUUAGGCAGCUUUAAGAAAAUGACUGGAGACAAUGGCGGACAAGACUCAGGUGUCGUAAAUUCGAAAUCGCCUAAGUCGACUCCAUCGUAG